rnacentral:tRNA from 1 species
GAUAGCUCAGUCGGUAGAGCAGGGGAUUGAAAAUCCCCGUGUCGGUGGUUCGAUUCCGCCUCCGGGCACCA